AUGCUGUUCAGCACUGGCGUGUGUGUGUGUGUGGGUGGCUGGGGAGGGCUGGUCUGGGAGAACUGCCAAUCUGUCGUCACCUUCAAAAAACAGAGCAGUUUCCCUGAUUUCCAGUCAGUCACUGGGCAUGGAUUCCCCACGCAGUCAUCCACCCCCUCACUUUCAUCCUGGAGCACGCACUCACCCACGUCACAGCAAUAUAUGACAAUGCACUUCCCAGCUAAAUUAAGUUUCAGGGGAAUAAAUCAAAAGGAACUGUGCCUGUGCAUUGUGGGUUGGUUGAACGUGGUGUGUGUUAUGGGGGUGGCAGAGUGCGUUUGAGCACCAACAUAAAGGCUUGGUUCUGACCUACAAGGAGAAUCUUUCCAUUAGCAUCCCUGUUCAUCUCAAGGGCAGUUGCUUGGCUGGACUGUGCCAUGCUAACCAACCAAAACUUGGUCUGUUCAGACAAUAAUUUCUUUUGGCAUAUUUGACUCUCAUUCAUUUAUUUUAGUCUGUACCACAAAAAAAAAAGGAAAAGAAAAAGAGUAUAAGAAAUUUGCUAUUCACAAUCUUUAUCCAAAACACACUACUGUUCAAAAGUUUUGUAUGAAUUCUCACCAAGGCUGCGUUUAUUUAAAGGGAUACUCCACCCCAAAAUGAAAAUUUUGUCAUUAAUCACUUACCCCCAUAAAAACCCGUAAAAGCUUCGUUCGUCUUCGUAACACAAUUUAAGAUAUUUUGGAUGAAAACCAGGAGGCCUGUGACUGUCCCAUUGACUGCCAAGUAAAUAACAGUGUCAAGGUCCAUAAAAGGUAUGAAAGUCGUCGUCAGAAUACUCCAUCUGCCAUCAGACAUGCAAUCUGGGUUAUAUGAAGCGAUGGAAACACUUUUUGUAAGCAAAGAGAAAAAAAAAACCACUUUAUUCAACAAUUCGUUUGUCUCUCCAUAUCACCGUAUGCUGUGUAUGCUCUUCUGUAUCAUCCGCGCCACAAGGUUGCGCUGUUUCUACGUGUAUUUUAGUUUUGAUUUGAAAGAAAACAGUGCAUCCUUGUGGCGCGGAUCAUUACUCCAGUCUUCACUGUCACAUGAUCCUUCAGAAAUCAUUCUAAUAUGCAGUAUUUUUUGCUUUAUUUGAAACCAGAGGCCUGUGACUGUCCCAUUGACUAGCCAAGUAAAUAACAGUGUCAAGGUCCAUAAAAGGUAUGAAAGUCGUCGUCAGAAUACUCCAUCUGCCAUCAGACAUGCAAUCUGGGUUAUAUGAAGCGAUGGAAACACUUUUUGUAAGCAAAGAAAAAAAAAAACCACUUUAUUCAACAAUUCGUUUGUCUCUCCAUAUCACCGUAUGCUGUGUAUGCUCUUCUGUAUCAUCCGCGCCACAAGGUUGCGCUGUUUCUACGUGUAUUUUAGUUUUGAUUUGAAAGAAAACAGUGCAUCCUUGUGGCGCGGAUCAUUACUCCAGUCUUCACUGUCACAUGAUCCUUCAGAAAUCAUUCUAAUAUGCAGAUUUUUUGCUUAUUAUCAGUGUUGAAAACAAUUGUGCUGCUUAACAUUUUUGAGGAAACCGUGAUGUAUUUUUUUCAGGGUUCUUUGAUGAAUAGAAUGUUUUUUUAAAUAGAAAUCAUUAUAAAUGCCUAUCCCUGUGUAGCCUUAGGCAGUCUAAGAAAAAACAACCUAAAAUAACUUUCUGACCCCAAACUUUUAAAUGGUCAUGUAUGUCUUUUGUCUGUUGGCAUUGCUUGAGCUAUGAAUAAAUGAAUAAAUGGACCCAGUUUUGAUAUUUGCAAAAUAAUGAAUAUAAUCAGUCAUGAAGAUGGCAUUUGAAAAACUAAAAUGUGUUCAUGUGCAAAACGAGUGUAGAGUUUUAAUUCGAAUUCAAAAAGAGCUGACAUUUUAUGCUGAUAUUUAUUUCCUAAAUUGGCCAUUUUCUGGCUUCCCCUUUAGAAAUGUGGUGAGUCAGAGGCCUAAAACCAGAUUUCCCAGAAAGCAGCUGUCAGAUGCUUUGAUCCCACUGGCGUCCUUUCCUGUGUGUUUGAUAUUGGUGUUGUUGUCGGAUCAUGUGCGUGUACCCUGCUGCCUCCCCAUAAUGCAGAGCACACACUGUACGGACAUGCCCUCAUGAUGCCAUUAGGCACAACAGAGCUGCAUAAUAGCCCCUGUCCUGAUGCUGCCACUGCUAAUGCCUGUUUGAGAAUUACAUGGGUGAGUGUACUCACAGAUCUCUCUGUGUAUUUAGUGUAAAAUUAAAAAAAUCACACUUCAGCCAUCUCAUUCUUAAACAUGAAAAAGCUUGCUUAUUCAGGGUACAAAUCAUACAAUGACUUUUAAGGAGGCUGACCUUUUAAAAGCAAUUCCAGUAAGACUUUAUAACUAAAUUUUCUGUUAAUGCAUUUGGUAACAUGAAUUAUGUUUGUUUUGUUAAUCAUUUUUACAUAUACACUAACCUUCAGAAGUUUGUGGUUGCUAAGAAUUUUAAUACAUUUUUUUAAUGAAUGUUUUUUUUUUUUUUCACUUUUAAAAUAAAUCACUGAUGCUAAACCUAACAGCAAUAUUGUGCAAUAGUAUUACAAUUUAAUAAUGGUUUUCUAUUUUUUAAUAUAUUUUAAAAUGUUAGGGUUAGGAAACCAUGAUACAUUUUCAGGAAUCCUUGACGAACAGAAAUCUAGAAAAGAGCAGCUAUUUUAAGUUAAAAAUAGUAAUUGUGUAACAUCAUAAAUGUCUACACUGUCUACUUUUGAUCAAUAUAAUGUGUCCUUGCUGAAUAAAAGUAUUAA
rnacentral:lncRNA from 1 species